rnacentral:lncRNA from 1 species
GCAGAUGAGGCAAUUGGAGCUCAGCAGUGUGACAGCCAGAGACUUGCCAGCGUUGGCACAAUAUUCAUUGGAGCCAUUGCCGUGUGACCCGCUGGUUCAGGAGGAAAUCAGCAGCGGAACAAAGUUUUCAAACACUGGCCUCCAAUUAGUCAGCUACAAGGCUUUACAAUCAAGCAAAGAUGAUGGCUUCAUUUAUUGUCAAUGCCAAGCCAGGAGCAAGUCCAACACGCCCUUGUGUUUAGCAGCCUCGAGGUCUGUUCUGUUACAGAUUUAUCAAAGGUUGCUCCAUUGUACUGGCCCAAGAAGUACGUUCCCUACAAGUGGACAGCGUGGGACCUGCGCUGCACCUCCUCUCAACUCUACAGGACGCACUCCUCCAAUGGCCCCAGUCUCAAGCAGAAUGAACCAAAGUUCCAUCUCUGCUUUGUAAAACUCCCGAAGAAACAGUGCCUCUGCAGCAUUGGAUAAUAGAAAAACUAAUUUGUAGCUCACUCUAUUUGACUUAAAUAUAACUCAUUGAGACUAUUUUUUGUCAUGAGAACUUUUGAAAUAAAACCUUUACCUCCUUGGGCAGUAUUUAGAGAGCUCAAUUUUCCCAGCUGAGUUUCUUUCCAUCCUUUCCACGUCUCCACCCAGGGUUCUUGUACCUGAGAAGCCUCUUCCCAUGUUUCCGCAGCUCUGCUUCUCUUCUCCUGUGUCUGCAUCCCACACUUCAGUGUCUCUGGACCAAGUACUGUACAAGAAGAAACCAAAACAGAGGGC